rnacentral:ncRNA from 1 species
CGAAACUCUGGAGAGUCUCUGAAAAAAGGAGCGCCGAAGGUGUAAGGGCAGACAUUUUCUGUCCGAUCUCUCAGGCAAAAGGACAGGGCA